GUCCACGCCGUAAACGAUGAUAACUAGGUGUUGGGAGAUUUGACCCUUUCAGCGCCGCAGCUAACGCAUUAAGUUAUCCGCCUGGGGAGUACGGUCGCAAGACUAAAACUCAAAGGAAUUGACGGGGGCCCGCACAAGCGGUGGAGUAUGUGGUUCAAUUCGACGCAACGCGAAGAACCUUACCUGGGUUAGAAAUCAACCGGAAGGUCUGUAGAGAUAUGGAUCGUCCCCGCAAGGGGACCGGUUGACAGGUGUUGCAUGGCUGUCGU
rnacentral:rRNA from 1 species